rnacentral:rRNA from 1 species
CUGGCGGCACGCCUAACACAUGCAAGUCGAACGAAGUAGCAAUACUUAGUGGCAAACGGGUGAGUAAUAUGUGGGAAUCUACCUAUCGGUCUGGAAUAACAUGAGGAAACUUGUGCUAAUACCGGAUAAGCCUUUACAGGGAAAGCUUUAUGCUCCGAUUGAUGAGUCCACACUUGAUUAGUUAGUUGGUGAGGUAAUAGCUUACCAAGACAAUGAUCAAUAGCUGAUUUGAGAGGAUGAUCAGCCACAUUGGGACUGAGACACGGCCCAAACUCCUACGGGAGGCAGCAGUGGGGAAUUUUGCACAAUGGGGGAAACCCUGAUGCAGCGAUGCCGCGUGAGUGAAGAAGGCCCUUGGGUUGUAAAGCUCUUUCGUCGGGGAAGAAAAUGACUGUACCCGAAUAAGAAGGUCCGGCUAACUUCGUGCCAGCAGCCGCGGUAAUACGAAGGGACCUAGCGUAGUUCGGAAUUACUGGGCUUAAAGAGUUCGUAGGUGGCUAAAAAAGUUGGUGGUGAAAUCCCAGAGCUUAACUCUGGAACUGCCAUCAAAACUUUUUAGCUAGAGUAUGAUAGAGGAAAGUAGAAUUUCUAGUGUAGAGGUGAAAUUCGUAGAUAUUAGAAAGAAUACCAAUUGCGAAGGCAGCUUUCUGGAUCAUUACUGACACUGAGGAACGAAAGCAUGGGUAGCGAAGAGGAUUAGAUACCCUCGUAGUCCAUGCCGUAAACGAUGUGUGCUAGACGUUGGAAAUUUAUUUUCAGUGUCGCAGCAAAAGCGUUAAGCACACCGCCUGGGGAGUACGACCGCAAGUAACUUAAAAUGAAAUGACGUA